AGCGAACGCUGGCGGCAGGCUUAACACAUGCAAGUCGAGCGGGCAUAGCAAUAUGUCAGCGGCAGACGGGUGAGUAACGCGUGGGAACGUACCUUUUGGUUCGGAACAACACAGGGAAACUUGUGCUAAUACCGGAUAAGCCCUUACGGGGAAAGAUUUAUCGACGAAAGAUCGGCCCGGGUCUGAUUAGCUAGUUGGUGAGGUAAUGGCUCACCAAGGCGACGAUCAGUAGCUGGUCUGAAAGGAUGAUCAGCCACAUUGGGACUGAGACACGGCCCAAACUCCUACGGGAGGCAGCAGUGGGGAAUAUUGGACAAUGGGCGCAAGCCUGAUCCAGCCAUGCCGCGUGAGUGAUGAAGGCCCUAGGGUUGUAAAGCUCUUUUGUGCGGGAAGAUAAUGACGGUACCGCAAGAAUAAGCCCCGGCUAACUUCGUGCCAGCAGCCGCCGUAA
rnacentral:rRNA from 1 species